AGUGAACGCUGGCGGUAGGCCUAACACAUGCAAGUCGAACGGCAGCACAGUAAGAGCUUGCUCUUACGGGUGGCGAGUGGCGGACGGGUGAGGAAUACAUCGGAAUCUACUUUUUCGUGGGGGACAACGUAGGGAAACUUACGCUAAUACCGCAUACGACCUACGGGUGAAAGCAGGGGAUCUUCGGACCUUGCGCGAUUGAAUGAGCCGAUGUCGGAUUAGCUAGUUGGCGGGGUAAAGGCCCACCAAGGCGACGAUCCGUAGCUGGUCUGAGAGGAUGAUCAGCCACCCUGGAACUGAGACACGGUCCAGACUCCUACGGGAGGCAGCAGUGGGGAAUAUUGGACAAUGGGCGCAAGCCUGAUCCAGCCAUACCGCGUGGGUGAAGAAGGCCUUCGGGUUGUAAAGCCCUUUUGUUGGGAAAGAAAAGCAGCAGGUUAAUACCCCGCUGUUCUGACGGUACCCAAAGAAUAAGCACCGGCUAACUUCGUG
rnacentral:rRNA from 1 species